rnacentral:rRNA from 1 species
GUACGGGAGGCAGCAGUGGGGAAUAUUGCACAAUGGGGGAAACCCUGAUGCAGCAACGCCGCGUGAGUGAUGACGGUCUUCGGAUUGUAAAACUCUGUCUUCAGGGACGAUAAUGACGGUACCUGAGGAGGAAGCCACGGCUAACUACGUGCCAGCAGCCGCGGUAAUACGUAGGUGGCAAGCGUUGUCCGGAUUUACUGGGCGUAAAGGGAGCGUAGGUGGAUAUUUAAGUGGGAUGUGAAAUACUCGGGCUUAACCUGGGUGCUGCAUUCCAAACUGGAUAUCUAGAGUGCAGGAGAGGAAAGUAGAAUUCCUAGUGUAGCGGUGAAAUGCGUAGAGAUUAGGAAGAAUACCAGUGGCGAAGGCGACUUUCUGGACUGUAACUGACACUGAGGCUCGAAAGCGUGGGGAGCAAACAGGAUUAGAUACCCCGGUAGA